rnacentral:misc_RNA from 1 species
AAGUCGUAACAAGGUUUCCGUAGGUGAACCUGCGGAAGGAUCAUUACCAAUAUAGCGAACCGAGCGUUAGCGAGGCUUCGCGAUCAAAUUUGUAUUUAAAACCCAACUCUUUAAAUGUAUAUUAUUAUUGUAUUUUAAAUAAUAAAGAUCACUUUCAACAACGGAUCUCUUGGUUCUC